GGAAACCCCGCCCGGUAAGGCGUAGCCGCGCCACCGGUAGCCAGCUUUGGAGGUACCGUAGUAAUAGGGUAACUUAAGCGUAAGCGGUUAGGUAGUAGGCCUGAAAGUGGUCGAGACCCGAAAAUACCCAACGGAGCAGGACAAUGGUAUUGACGCCCCAGAAGUCUACACGCGUGAAUGCGGAUGGCUAGUGUUCGCGUGCUGCCCCGGGGUCUAUGAGCC
rfam:Acetonema longum DSM 6540 Contig00278, whole genome shotgun sequence.